rnacentral:rRNA from 1 species
UACGUAGGGUGCGAGCGUUGUCCGGAAUUACUGGGCGUAAAGAGCUCGUAGGCGGCUUGUCGCGUUGUUCGUGAAAUUUACCGCUCAACGGUGAACUUGCGGGCGAUACGGGCAGGCUAGAGUACUGCAGGGGAGACUGGAAUUCCUGGUGUAGCGGUGAAAUGCGCAGAUAUCAGGAGGAACACCGGUGGCGAAGGCGGGUCUCUGGGCAGUAACUGACGCUGGAGGAGCGAA